GGGGAUUUAGCUCAGUGGCAUAAGCGCCUGCCUUGCAAGCGGGCAGUCGUGAGUUCGAUCCACAAUACCAA
rfam:Cavia porcellus supercont2_20 genomic scaffold, whole genome shotgun sequence.